GCUUGGGUAGCUCAGUGGUAGAGCUCCUAACUUCAGUUGCAGAGGUCCUGGGUUUGAUUCCCAGUCCAUAUU
rnacentral:tRNA from 1 species